GACGAACGCUGGCGGCGUGCUUAACACAUGCAAGUCGAACGGAAAGGCCUCUUUCGGGGGGUACUCGAGUGGCGAACGGGUGAGUAACACGUGAGUAACCUGCCCUUGACUUUGGGAUAACUUCAGGAAACUGGGGCUAAUACCGGAUAGGAGCUCCUGCUGCAUGGUGGGGGUUGGAAAGUUUCGGCGGUUGGGGAUGGACUCGCGGCUUAUCAGCUUGUUGGUGGGGUAAUGGCUUACCAAGGCUUUGACGGGUAGCCGGCCUGAGAGGGUGACCGGCCACAUUGGGACUGAGAUACGGCCCAGACGCCGACGGGAGGCAGCAGUGGGGAAUAUUGCACAAGGGGUGGAAGCCGGAUGCAGCAACGCCGUGUGCGGGAUGACGGCCUUCGGGUUGGAAACCGCUUUCGCUCAUGACGAAGCUUUGUGUGACGGUAGUGGGUAAAGAAGCACCGGCUAACUACGUG
rnacentral:rRNA from 1 species